UACAGAGGGUGCAAGCGUUGUUCGGAAUUACUGGGCGUAAAGCGCGCGCAGGCGGGAUGGCAAGUCGGAUGUGAAAGCCCUCGGCUCAACCGAGGAAGUGCAUUCGAAACUGCUGUUCUUGAGUGUCGGAGAGGGUGGUGGAAUUCCCGGUGUAGAGGUGAAAUUCGUAGAUAUCGGGAGGAACACCAGUGGCGAAGGCGACCACCUGGACGAACACUGACGCUGAGGCGCGAAAGCGUGGGGAGCAAACAGG
rnacentral:rRNA from 1 species